rnacentral:rRNA from 1 species
UGUUUGAUGUUCUAACGUGGACCCGUGAUCCGGGUUGCGGACAGUGUCUGGUGGGUAGUUUGACUGGGGCGGUCUCCUCCUAAAGAGUAACGGAGGAGCACGAAGGUUGGCUAAUCCUGGUCGGACAUCAGGAGGUUAGUGCAAUGGCAUAAGCCAGCUUGACUGCGAGCGUGACGGCGCGAGCAGGUGCGAAAGCAGGUCAUAGUGAUCCGGUGGUUCUGAAUGGAAGGGCCAUCGCUCAACGGAUAAAAGGUACUCCGGGGAUAACAGGCUGAUACCGCCCAAGAGUUCAUAUCGACGGCGGUGUUUGGCACCUCGAUGUCGGCUCAUCACAUCCUGGGGCUGAAGUAGGUCCCAAGGGUAUGGCUGUUCGCCAUUUAAAGUGGUACGCGAGCUGGGUUUAGAACGUCGUGAGACAGUUCGGUCCCUAUCUGCCGUGGGCGCUGGAGAACUGAGGGGGGCUGCUCCUAGUACGAGAGGACCGGAGUGGACGCAUCACUGGUGUUCGGGUUGUCAUGCCAAUGGCACUGCCCGGUAGCUAAAUGCGGAAGAGAUAAGUGCUGAAAGCAUCUAAGCACGAAACUUGCCCCGAGAUGAGUUCUCCCUGAGACUUAGAGUCUCCUGAAGGAACGUUGAAGACGACGACGUUGAUAGGCCGGGUGUGU